AACGAACGCUGGCGGCGUGGAUUAGGCAUGCAAGUCGAACGCGAAAGAGGGAGCAAUCCCUCAAGUAGAGUGGCGAACGGGUGAGUAACGCGUGAAGAACCUGCCCUCAACAGGGGGAUAACACUCCCAACGGGGUGCUAAUACCGCAUGAGACCACGGGUCCGCAUGGACCUGAGGUCAAAGGUGGCCUCUGCUUGCAAGCUACCGGCUGAAGAUGGCUUCGCGUCCCAUUAGCUAGUUGGCGGUGUAAAAGACCACCAAGGCGACGAUGGGUAGCUGGUCUGAGAGGAUGGUCAGCCACACUGGGACUGAGAUACGGCCCAGACUCCUACGGGAGGCAGCAGUCGAGAGGCUUUGGCAAUGGGGAAACCCUGACCAAGCGACGCCGCGUGGAGGAUGAAGGCCCUUGGGUUGUAAACUCCUUUUGUC
rnacentral:rRNA from 1 species